UAUACCAUUUUUGCACUCAUUUAUGGGGCCAUCUAUGUUGAGUAUGUGUGUUCUGCUAUUCUGCAACUUAAAUCAAUAGGUAGUGAGAAGAUGCGAUAGUUUGAACCUCCUCCACUUCUUCUGUACAAGAUUGGUCAUUUUCCAAAGGGAUGGAAGUAGCUGUUUAGAGGAUCCACUCACAUGAGGUACACCUCAUAAUUUUAAUGUGAACUUAAAUAUUUUGUAUAGCUAUCCAAAAUCUGGGGAUGAACUCGGUCUUGUGUUGCUUAAAGAGUUUGAGCUCGGACUAAUGUUAGUAUUCUUUGUCACAUUGAACCCGGUAUAUCAAAUGGUUAUAUGGUAGACUACAGAACAACAUCAACACAGGCAACAUUGAUUUGGUUGGUGUGCAUAAGAUGGUCCUCAGUGAGGAAGUCCAUGACAGCCUGCUAAUCCUAGGCAUCAAGGCCGAUCGAAUCCGAUCACGACAAUCUCAUUGUGUGUUAGAUAAGGCAAGAGUUCCGCACUUUCUCCACUGCCACCAUUGCCACUAUUUGCCGCCGGCGCUUGAUGCAGCGGAGUGUGUAAAAGGAGAAUGUGAAUAAGGAAGUGUGCACGGGAGUAGUCCGUACCUUUUUAUCACAGCGAGGGAGUUAACCCACACUAGCUCCACGAUCAGCUCACCAGCGGUAGCCUGGUUCGAGCCGAUCAACAAUUUCCAUUGAGAGCGAGGUGGUGCAGGGCACCUCGUGGAGGACCCUGUGUAUGCUUCAUAACCAAAACAUAGUCUUCUUUUGGUUAUCUGAUUUUCUUUCAUAUUUGUCCCAAUAAAAUUUGGCCCCGUGGUAACUCACAGGCACAUACCUCGACUAUAAUUAUUUCAAAAAAAGAGACAAAAUAUCGCAUAAUAUAUAAAUCAGUUCAUAUAUCAUGGCAGCAAAACCACAUUGUGGUGAUCGCCCUCACCUACGACAGUGUGCAUUUCUUAGAACUGGGAAUCGUCUGAUUCAGUGUGGAGGAGAGGAAGGGCGAACGACGCCAUGCAGGGAAGGAGAGAGAGUAGUGAGAGGAAGUUGCGAUCUGAAUGAUGUGGUGCAAGGGGGGAGGCGGCAGUGAGAUACCGUGGAGGGGAGAGAUGACAGCGAUGAUGAUGUGGUGAGGAGAGCCUGAUGGGGUAAUGAGGUAGAGCGUUGUGCCAAUGAUAGUCAUCCUACUUUUUUAAGAUGAGAAGAAAAGGAGUGGUUGUUGCUUUUUGUUAGGGAAAAUUGAUUGCUUGCCGUUAGAGAAAUGUCACAUACUUUUUUAUAUAGUGAAAAAUAUCACAUACCCUAGGAAGUCAUUUCUGGAGAAUAAUUACCCACAAGUGAUUUAUAGGUGAGUCUACAAGCAUGAUGCCUCACUUCGAGUAAAAACGGUCACAUGCUCGAAGCAAGCAUCUGACCAAUGAAUAUAUACUCUCUCUGUUCAUAAAUAUAAGUCUUGUAACAGAUUUUAAUAUAGACUACAUACGGAGCAAAAAUGAGUGAAUCUACAUUAUGGGCUUAUCUAAAAAGACUUACAUUGGAAUGGAGGAAGUAUUAUAUAUGGGCUUAUCUUAGUUUUAUUUUAUUUUAGUAUGUGUUUAUAUACUCACUUUUGGAGAAUAUAGAUAACAACUGAUGGUUUCCGAUGAUGCUUUGAAAAAUGUCCAUUGACAAAGCUUUAUGAUAGAUGGACUGAAAACUUGAGUGUUACCCAAUUGAAAGAGAUGCAUACAAAUAAUUAUUCUUUUUUAUAUACUGUUGCACAUGAUAAUACAAAAGGUGUCUCCCCUUCUUAUUUUUAUAUAUGUCUAUUUUUUGCAGGGUAUGAAAGAGAUAAAGAUGUAUUAUGUUGAUGUUCAAAAGGAAUCCAUUCGACAAGAAUGUUGACGCGAUGUUGUUGGAAGGGACCAAAAAAUCAUUGAGUUAUAUACAACAAUACAUGUAUAUAUACAAUCAGAACAAAAAUUAAAAGGCCCGUGGCAAUACACGGGCAUUGUACUAGUUAU
rnacentral:lncRNA from 1 species